rnacentral:tmRNA from 1 species
CCUUUAAUUUAAAUGCGAAUCAGAUUACAUUCAUAGAGCCGGCUUGCCGGCUAUGGCGAUAAACGGCUUGUGUAAUAAGCACAGUGGACCCGGGGGCAGUACCCGGCGCCUCCACCAGAUUGUUCGUUGCAACGGACCUAAAUGGAUCCGAUGCGCAUUUAAGGGGGCGAAACAGGAUCGACACGUGUCUAAAGACAUGCUUUUCGCCCGGUAUGGUUCCGCCGUCAGCGGGCCGUUUUUACAAGUGCCAAUGAUAACGAUUUGGCCCUCGCUGCUUAAUUAUUAGGUAAGCGCGGUUAGGAGGGACACCGGGCAACAGAAGUCCCU